GACAGAGGGUGCGAACGUUGUUCGGAAUUACUGGGCGUAAAGGGCUCGUAGGCGGCCAACUAAGUCCGACGUGAAAUCCCUCAGCUCAACUGGGGAACUGCGUCUGAUACUGGUCGGCUUGAGUGCAGGAGAGGAACGCGGAAUUCCAGGUGUAGCGGUGAAAUGCGUAGAUAUCUGGAGGAACACCGGUGGCGAAGGCGGCGUUCUGGACUGCAACUGACACUGAGGAACGAAAGCCAGGGGAGCAAACGGG
rnacentral:rRNA from 1 species